rnacentral:lncRNA from 1 species
UUAUAACUGUAAUUUUGGCCCUAUCCCCGCCACGCAGGUGCCACAUCAACGCCACGCAAGCUGGCUGUAGAGGGGCGUUAAGUUAAAUACGGUGAAUCAUCCGCCGUAUUCUAUACUUAUAUUCCACGGUAAAUUCGUCUUUAGACACAGUGAAUGAAUUAUCGUAUUCAAUUUAUUCCAGCAUCUCUACUCUUACUAGCGUGUGCGCUUAUAUGGCACCUGCAUCAGUAUGGCGGGGAUAGGAUCAAAAUUGUAAUUAUAAAUUUAGUAGAAUUAAUUGUGAAAAUAAUACAAAAAAAAGCCCUUAAAUAUAUA